ACGCUGGCGGCACGCCUAACACAUGUCAAGUCGAACGAAGUAGCAAUACUUAGUGGCAGACGGGUGAGUAACAUGUAGGUAUCUGCCCUUUGGCCUGGAAUAACACGAGGAAACUUGUGCUAAUACCGGAUAAGUCUUUACGGAGAAAGCUUUAUGCACCAUUGGAUGAGCCUGCACUUGAUUAGUUUGUUGGUGGGGUAAUGGCCUACCAAGACUGUGAUCAAUAGCUGAUUUGAGAGGAUGAUCAGCCACAUUGGGACUGAGACACGGCCCAAACUCCUACGGGAGGCAGCAGUGGGGAAUCUUGCACAAUGGAGGAAACUCUGAUGCAGCGAUGCCGCGUGAGUGAAGAAGGCCUUUGGGUUGUAAAGCUCUUUCGUCGGGGAAGAAAAUGACUGUACCCGAAUAAGAAGGUCCGGCUAACUUCGUGCCAGCAGCCGCGGUAAUACGAAGGGACCUAGCGUAGUUCGGAAUUACUGGGCUUAAAGAGUUCGUAGGUGGUUGAAAAAGUUAGUGGUGAAAUCCCAGAGCUUAACUCUGGAACUGCCAUUAAAACUUUUCAGCUAGAGUAUGAUAGAGGAAAGCAGAAUUUCUAGUGUAGAGGUGAAAUUCGUAGAUAUUAGAAAGAAUACCAAUUGCGAAGGCAGCUUUCUGGAUCAUUACUGACACUGAGGAACGAAAGCAUGGGUAGCGAAGAGGAUUAGAUACCCUCGUAGUCCAUGCCGUAAACGAUGUGUGUUAGACGUUGGAAAUUUAUUUUCAGUGUCGCAGGGAAACCGAUAAACACACCGCCUGGGGAGUACGACCGCAAGGUUAAAACUCAAAUGAAUUGACGGGGACCCGCACAAGUAGUGGAGCAUGUGGUUUAAUUCGAAGAUACGCGCAGAACCUUACCAACACUUGACAUGUUCGUCGCGACUCUAAGAGAUUAGAGUUUUCGGUUCGGCCGGACGAAACACAGGUGCUGCAUGGCUGUCGUCAGCUCGUGUCGUGAGAUGUUGGGUUAAGUCCCGCAACGAGCGCAACCCUCACUUUUAGUUGCCAUCAUUAAGUUGGGCACUCUGAAAGAACUGCCAGUGAUAAGCUGGAGGAAGGUGGGGAUGACGUCAAGUCCUCAUGGCCCUUACGUGUUGGGCUACACACGUGCUACAAUGGUAUCUACAACAGGAAGCAAAACUGCGAAGUUAAGCAAAUCCCUAAAAGAUACCUCAGUUCGGAUUGCACUCUGCAACUCGAGUGCAUGAAGCUGGAAUUACUAGUAAUCGUGGAUCAGCGUGCCACGGUGAAUGCGUUCCCGGGUCUUGUACACACCGC
rnacentral:rRNA from 1 species